GUCCACGCCGUAAACGAUGGAUACUAGCUGUUGGGAGCAAUCUCAGUGGCUAAGCGAAAGUGAUAAGUAUCCCACCUGGGGAGUACGUUCGCAAGAAUGAAACUCAAAGGAAUUGACGGGGACCCGCACAAGCGGUGGAGCAUGUGGUUUAAUACGACGCUACGCGUGGAACCUUACCAGGACUUGACAUGCAUUUGAAAUCCUAUCGAAAGUUAGGACCUGUCCUAAAGACACAGAUACACAGGUGUUGCAUGGCUGUCGU
rnacentral:rRNA from 1 species